GCGGUCGGGGGAGCGGGCGGAGGAGUCCGGGUGUUCGCCGCCGGGAGGAAACGCGCCUUUCAGGCGGUCUUGAACUUGGACGUGCCGGGACAGGGCACUUCAAACAGCGGUAAAGCCAGUAUGCGCGCAGUUUGCCUCCUAACAGCCUGGCAAGCUCAGUAGUGGAAGUCGUCAAGUAGUUUUUUUUUUUUUUUUUAAGUUAAAAAUUCAAGAGUGGAACUGGAAGUACGACUGUGGAGUAACCAGGAGAGAAGAUGAUGAUUUGAUUAUGAGUCAAAAAGCUCCGCUCUGGAGCUCAGACCCACAAACAAAACGUCACACCUCUGCCAGGGGACCUGCUGACUACUGCUGUGUCCCUUGCUGUGAUCACCCACUGUGACUGCAUUACUUUCUCCUUUGAGUCCUACAUGACUUCAGAGGUCCUUCAUAGCCACAGAAGCCCUUGGCUUUAAUCCUAGCACUUGGGAGGCAGAGACAGGUGGAUCUCUGUGAGUUCGAGGCCAGCCUGGUGGUCUACAGAGCGAGUCCCUGGAAAGCCAAAGCUACACAGAAAACCAAGAGAGACAGAGACAGAGAGACAGAGAAAAACAGAGAGAAAGAAGAGGCAGUGUUUAAAUUGUGAGAUGUUUGCAGUCGUGUGCUUCUGCAAGAAGUCUCUGAGCAAGCUUAAAAAGCAACCUCUGGUAAUUUGAAUAAGGUGGCCUCACUCAGGGGUUUUUUAAAGAUGAAGGUUGGAAGAGACCUUGAAAACUAACCAGCAUUUAUGGG
rnacentral:lncRNA from 1 species